rnacentral:lncRNA from 1 species
AACAACUAAUAACCACAACAACUACUAAAGUGUUCAAUAACAAAAUAACAAUAUAAUCAUCAUUCAAAUAACCAACAACAAAAUAUCAACAAGUUCACAACUUUGUUUUGACAAUACACAAUAUUCAACGAGUUUUUUUAUGUAGCAUCAUCUUCAUUUUCGGUCCUAGGACAAUCAUUUCCAUCUUCGGUUGUAGGACCUUGAUCGCUGGCAAGUGGGGAAGAAGGAGGAGACCGAGUAAUGGGAAAAGUACCAACAAGGAAGAAGAUUGGCUAAUUGACCUUGAUGGAGAUCAAAUUGUUUGUCCCUCCAUUCUAGCUAACCUUGAAGGAUAUCAAAUCUCUUCUUUUCACUAGCCUUGGUCUCUUGAAGCUCUGCUGUCAACUUUGUGAUCUUCUCUUCCAUAGCGGAUACAGCCGAACUAUCAAUCGCCUCGCCUUUGGCAGAAGUCCCUAUACCUUGCAAUCCAGCCCUGUAGCGCCGAAACGAUUUAUCUGAAAGGCCGUAUGAUGUCCCCUUUUUAGGACCACCGACAGUAUCCAACCAUAUCAUCUUCUCUUCUUCGUCUGAAAUGG